CACUCCUACGGGAGGCAGCAGUGGGGAAUUUUGGACAAUGGGCGAAAGCCUGAUCCAGCAAUGCCGCGUGAGUGAAGAAGGCCUUCGGGUUGUAAAGCUCUUUUGUCAGGGAAGAAACGGUGAGAGCUAAUAUCUCUUGCUAAUGACGGUACCUGAAGAAUAAGCACCGGCUAACUACGUGCCAGCAGCCGCGGUAAUACGUAGGGUGCAAGCGUUAAUCGGAAUUACUGGGCGUAAAGCGUGCGCAGGCGGUUUUGUAAGUCUGAUGUGAAAUCCCCGGGCUCAACCUGGGAAUUGCAUUGGGGACUGCAAGGCUAGAAUCUGGCAGAGGGGGGUAGAAUUCCACGUGUAGCAGUGAAAUGCGUAGAUAUGUGGAGGAACACCGAUGGCGAAGGCAGCCCCCUGGGUCAAGAUUGACGCUCAUGCACGAAAGCGUGGGGAGCAAACAGGAUUAGAUACCCCAGUAGUCCCAU
rnacentral:rRNA from 1 species